rnacentral:rRNA from 1 species
GUGGGGAAUCUUGCGCAAUGGGCGAAAGCCUGACGCAGCCAUGCCGCGUGAAUGAUGAAGGUCUUAGGAUUGUAAAAUUCUUUCACCGGGGACGAUAAUGACGGUACCCGGAGAAGAAGCCCCGGCUAACUUCGUGCCAGCAGCCGCGGUAAUACGAAGGGGGCUAGUGUUGCUCGGAAUUACUGGGCGUAAAGGGCGCGUAGGCGGACAGUUUAGUCAGAGGUGAAAGCCCAGGGCUCAACCUUGGAAUUGCCUUUGAUACUGGCUGUCUUGAGUACGGGAGAGGUGAGUGGAACUCCGAGUGUAGAGGUGAAAUUCGUAGAUAUUCGGAAGAACACCAGUGGCGAAGGCGACUCACUGGCCCGUUACUGACGCUGAGGCGCGAAAGCGUGGGGAGCAAACAGGAUUAGAAACCCCGGUAGUCC